rnacentral:rRNA from 1 species
UUGUAAUUUGCAGAGGAUGCUUUUGGCAAGGUGCCUUCCGAGUUCCCUGGAACGGGACGCCAUAGAGGGUGAGAGCCCCGUCUGGUCGGACACCGAGCCUCUGUAAAGCUCCUUCGACGAGUCGAGUAGUUUGGGAAUGCUGCUCAAAAUGGGAGGUAUAUGUCUUCUAAAGCUAAAUACCGGCCAGAGACCGAUAGCGCACAAGUAGAGUGAUCGAAAGAUGAAAAGCACUUUGAAAAGAGAGUUAAAUAGCACGUGAAAUUGUUGAAAGGGAAGCGUUUAUGACCAGACUUGGCCCGGUUGAUCAUCCAGCCUUCUGGCUGGUGCACUCUGCCGGUCCAGGCCAGCAUCANUUCGCCGCGGGGGAUAAAGGUUUCGGGAAUGUAGCUCCUCCGGGAGUGUUAUAGCCCGUUGCGUAAUACCCUGCGGUGGACUGAGGUCCGCGCUCUGCANGGAUGCUGGCGUAAUGGUCAUCAACGACCC